AUCUGCCCCUGCUUGCAUUGCAUAGGUAGUUUUCCUUGGUCGGUUCCUGGUUUUCCUCCCUGCCUUUCGUUUUGCCGCCUCUUCCCGAACUCCCUCAAAACCAGUCAUCUUUCUGGCUUUCUCUCUCCUUACUUCCAUUUUCUCUCUCCUCCCUCCAUUUUACAUUUCCUGAGCAUAGCUAACAUCGCAAGAAUGGAGCAGCAGCGAUGAAAUCCAAGGGCGGCGGCUCAACUAUCACAAGAAUGGGGAGAUAUAUAGCUUCGAGCUUGAGGAACUUGAACAGAAUGAACACCCUUCAUCGUCAAAAAACUCCUGACCUUGUUCUCAAGAUAGUUUAUAAUAAAAAAAAAAUUCAUGAUUUUUUGAUCUGUGUUUUGGAAGCUAUGGGAGCUUUCAACGAAUUGAGGAAGCUGGAAUUGUUCUUUAAGGAUGAGAGCAGGCAUGGUCUUUCAGUUUUUGAUCUUGGAAAGAUAUUGGCUUGUAUGCACGAUUAGUUUUCGAUCGAUCCUCUAAUGCCUUCCGUUUUCAGUAUUAAGUUAGUUCCUCGAUCCUCCAAUGCCUUCAGUUUUCAGUAUCCUUUAAUUCUUUGGCAGAAUGGGACUUCAGAAGAGGUGGUGAAGAUAGUAGAAACUCUCAAUGUAGGUGAAGGUCAUGAAAAGCAACCAGCCUAGAUUUAUCAAUUUGCCAAAACAACAUGAAGAGAACUGAUUACAUUUUUGUAGGCGACGGAGAGGAGUAUGUGGUUGUGGUUGUGGUUGUUUUCGACAUGGCCUGUAAACUAUCCCCGUGUCGGUGGGAAGAAUCAAAUCGAGGGGAAGAAGAGCAAGAGAAGAAGAGAAAGAAAAACGAAGACCAAAGGGCAAGUUUAAAGAGAAAAGAGUAAAUUUCUGCAGUUUUAAUAGGAAUAUUUGGAUUUAUUUUGGAUAUUUGAGAACAUUCCUGCAGGUUAAUAGAAUUAUUGAUGUGCUGUGGAUACGAUAUCUGUCUCCUUUCUCUUUCUUGUUCUAAUUGGUUCAAUUUUCAUCUCUUCUAUUAGAUUUAACCUGUUAUAUGAAUGUUGACUGUUUUUGUUUUGUUUAUUUCUCCUCUUUUUUCCUUUUUUUUUUGCCGUUAUUUUUUUUCUUAUCCUCCAGUUUCUCUGUUUUUUCUCUAAAAUAGGCGGAAGCCGGAGCAAGGUUUGGUGGAUUUGAGUUUGAGGCAAAAGAACUCAGGCUACACUCAGAGUUGCUUCACAAAAAUAUGGUGGCAAUACUGGAGAUGUUGUGGCACUUAGGAUAGAGGCAGAGACUGCUAGGGAUGAGGCAAUUUCUGCACUUGAUCAACUCCAGGAGUCCGAGUCUGAAUUAAGAUCCCUUCGGUCUAUGGUUCAUAGGUUAAUGUUGACACGGAAAGAGAUGGAAGAGUUGGUUCUUAAGAGGUGUUGGCUUGCUCGAUAUCGGAGUUUAUGUGUACGAUAUGGUAUCUAUUCAGACAUCGCAGAAGCUAAACUCAAAUAUUGAUCAUCCUUUGCCCCUCUACCUGUCGAGAUUGUUAUUGCUGCAGGACAGAAAGCAAAGGAAGACAGUCCCUCAGAAUUCCUCGACUUUCACCAUUUUACGAAUUCGUAUCCAUUUCUCUAUUUAUCAGCGCGGUUUCAGAUAUAUUUGCUCUUAUUUUAUCAUUAUAUGUAUUGAUUGGUUUUUUUUUUGUUGUUGUUGUUGUUACUUUUGUGAUCAUUCCUAUAAUUUAUUGAAGAAAUACUUAUUUUAGAUUGUAGGGGUUGGGAGUUUGAUACCUGUUUUUGGAAUUGUGUUGUUUGUGUAAGUCUUUGAUAAAUGAGUUUGUCUCCCUUCGAAAUUAGAGUACUGAUGUGAAGUAUGUGGAAGGCACCUUGUGUUGUGCAGUCACUUAGUGCAUUUUCAUCGAAUUACGACGUGUUCUUGUUGAGUUUGAGGGCCUAUUUUGCAUUGAAAUUUCAUCAUAAUAGGCUUAUAGCGUGUUAACUGUUGUUACAUAUGAUGUAUAUCCUACAACGGGUGUAAUUUCACACACUCACACAUUUGCCUCCCAAUUUGGUCAGCUUCAUGAGUAAAUGGUGAGGGGAAUUUGAAAGGGUGUAAAAGUGUAAAACUACACUCGGGUGUAGGAUGGAAAUUGUAGUUGUUACAUGGAUGGUAGUUGUGAUGACAGAAUGGGUUUUCCAACUCAAAAGUAAUGGAUUUACUUACAAGAAAAAAGAACUAUUGAUUUACUUGGUUUACGAUAACUUAAGGUAGUGUCUAAUUUUACUCCAUUUGACUUUUGAAAUUAUUUAUGCUGUUAUUAGUGUUUGAAUGCAGUAGAAAUGAUGAUCUGAUAAUCAAAGUGUUAACAACCUGUAUGCAUAAAAGAAGAUGAUGAUGCCACUAACGUCACCUGAGGAACGACAACUUUAGAGGACAAUCUUUGGUGACGACAAAGAACCUGUGAAUGAAAAUGGAGGGAUGAGGGUGGUGACAGGAGUCGCAGGAUAAUGAUAAGAAGAUUCUAAGUUUGGGUUUAGGAUUGACUCCUCUAGAUUGCUUUGAUGUGUCAUUUAUAAUCAAAGAGAGGAUGACAGAGGUACAUCAAAGAUUGCUAAACUUAGUUCUUCCUUUGAGGAACUUAGAGUGUGGAUGGAGGAAGUUCCUAGUGAAAUUUCCCAUCUAGUAUUGGCUGAUGUUGAGCACGAUUUUGAGUAAUAAAUUGUCUUGAUAUUUUCCCGUCAAAAAAAAUAAAUAGUAUUUUUCAUAAAGAUUCUAAAAUUUGUAAAACCAUAAAAGUGAUCAAUCGGUAAAAUGUAAAGAAAGAUGGAAAAUGAGAGAAGAGCAAGUGAGAAAGGGGGGCGGCUAAUGAGAGCGAGUGUUAAAAAGCAAUAAGUUAAUGAUUAUUAUAAGUUGGAAGAUUAAGAGUAUGAAAAUGAAGAAAGGUGUCAUCUAACAGUCAAAUAACAACAAAUUAAACAUAAAUAUCAAUAUACAUUUACAUUAUAAGUCAAGUGUUACACUAUAAUAUCAAUUUUGUAGUGAUUAUGUUGGGGGGCGCGUGCACCAACAACUAGUAUAUAAAAAUAUGACAAUAUUUUGUUUGGGUAGUGAAUGGAAAUAGAUGGGGAAUAAAUAACAAAAAUACAAAAUUACCCUUACUAAUCUUUCUCCUCCAUUCUUUUCAUUAAUGCCAAAAAUGUCAUUUUUCACUUAUUCCCAUUUCCAUUCAUUUAUUACCUAUCCUCCUUAGGUAAUAAAUUAAUAGGAAUUCACCCCAUUUAUUCUCAAUCCCAUUCCCUUCUUUAUUUUCAAUCCCAUUUUACAAACAAGAUAUUUUUUUUUAUUUGGGAUUAAAAGUCCCAUUUCCAGUUUUCCACCCUCAAUUCCCAUUUACCAAACACCCCCUUGUUGGUAUGAUCAGAAAGUGGGAUAAGAGUUCUCGCCUUCUCAGAUUCUCUCCUCCUUUGCCCAACUCCAAACUAACGAUAGUGAUAAAAAAAAAAAAAUAAAAAAAAAAAAAAAAAAAAAAAAAAAAAAAACAAACUAUGAUUGGUUGUAGGCUGUAACUUCUGGUUACCUAAGGACGUAACAAGUCUAACGACUGACUGGCCCAGUACCAGAGAAUGACAAAAUACCCACGCUUCUUUAGUGUGGAAUGACGAUUAUAGGCCCGGAUAGACAUACUAGAUUAAGAUAGCAUAUUAGCAUUAUUAUUAUCAUCACAAGUCUUUUACCCGAGCAGCGCUCGGAUAUUUACUGUUUUUUUUUUUUUUAUAAAUUAUUCUAAAUUUUAUAUUUGUUUAUAGAUUUUGUAUACAAAUAUUACGUAAUUAUUUCAGGGGAUUGUUAAACGGCGCCCUUAUUUUACCUGGUAACGCCCGCAUUUAAAUAUAAAUGGACAAAUAUACUCUCGUGUACUCCAUAUUUUUCUUCUCUGGCCUCUAACUCAAUCGUGCAUUCUCUCCUCCCAACAAACCACCACCAAUCGAGGGCAAGGUCAUCGGACACAUCGCCGGAAUUAAAGUCGUUUUUUUUUUUUUUUUUGUGGAAGCCAAACGCCUAAAUUUUUCAAAACUCUAGGGGAGAAACGCCUAGAAUUUUCAAAAGUCCUUAGGAGAUUCGAAAAUUCUAGGCGUUGCCACCCAUAGAAUUUUUCAUUUUUUUUGCGUUUUUU